rnacentral:rRNA from 1 species
AUUGAACGCUGGCGGCAGGCCUAACACAUGCAAGUCGAACGAGUGGCGGACGGGUGAGUAAUGUCUGGGAAACUGCCUGAUGGAGGGGGAUACCUACUGGAAACGGUAGCUAAUCCCGCAUACCAUCGGAUGUGCCCAGAUGGGAUUAGCUAGUAGGUGGGGUAAAGGCUCACCUAGGCGACGAUCCCUAGCUGGUCUGAGAGGAUGAACAGCCACACUGGAACUGAGACACGUGCCAGACUCCUACGGUAGGCAGCAGUGGGGAAUAUUGCACAAUGGGCGCAAGCCUUAUGCAGCCAGGCCGCGUGUAUGAAGAAGGCCUUCGGGUUGUAAAGUACUUUCAGCGGGGAGGCGUUACCCGCAGAAGAAGCACCGGCUAACUCCGUGCCAGCAGCCGCGGUAAUUC